rnacentral:rRNA from 1 species
GACGAACGCUGGCGGCGCGCUUAACACAUGCAAGUCGAACGGAAAGGCCUGCUUUCCCUUGUGGAUUGCGGGUACUCGAGUGGCGAACGGGUGAGUAACACGUGAGUGAUCUGCCCCCAACUUGGGUAUAAGCCUGGGAAACUGGGUCUAAUUCCCGAUAGGACUGCAGGGUGGUGCCUGUGGUGGAAAACGAUUUUCUAGUGGUUGGGGAUGAGCUCGCGGCCUAUCAGCUUGUUGGUGGGGUAAUGGCCUACCAAGGCGGCGACGGGUAGCCGGCCUGGGAGGGUGGACGGCCACAUUGGGACUGAGAUACGGCCCAGACUGCUACGGGAGGCAGCAGUGGGGAAUACUGCACAAUGGGCGGAAGCCUGAUGCAGCGACGCCGCGUGGGGGAUGACGGCCUUCGGGUUGUAAACUCCUUUCGACCGCGAGGAAGCCACCUGGUUGGAAGGGUGGUGACGGUAGUGGUAGAAGAAGCACCGGCUAACUACGUG